rnacentral:rRNA from 1 species
AUUGAACGCUGGCGGCAGGCCUAACACAUGCAAGUCGAGCGGUAACAGAACUAGCUUGCUAGUUGCUGACGAGCGGCGGACGGGUGAGUAACGCGUGGGAAUAUGCCCAUAGGUGGGGGAUAGCCCGGGGAAACUCGGAUUAAUACCGCAUAAUAUCUACGGAUCAAAGGAGGCCUCUUCUUGAAAGCUUUCGCCGAUGGAUUAGCCCGCGUUAGAUUAGCUUGUUGGUGAGGUAAUGGCUCACCAAGGCGACGAUCUAUAGCUGGUCUGAGAGGAUGAUCAGCCACACUGGAACUGAGACACGGUCCAG